rnacentral:rRNA from 1 species
AGAGUUUGAUUCUGGCUCAGAACGAACGCUGGCGGCGUGGAUAAGACAUGCAAGUCGAACGAGAGAAUUGCUAGCUUGCUAAUAAUUCUCUAGUGGCGCACGGGUGAGUAACACGUGAGUAACCUGCCCCCGAGAGCGGGAUAGCCCUGGGAAACUGGGAUUAAUACCGCAUAGAAUCGCAAGAUUAAAGCAGCAAUGCGCUUGGGGAUGGGCUCGCGGCCUAUUAGUUAGUUGGUGAGGUAACGGCUCACCAAGGCGAUGACGGGUAGCCGGUCUGAGAGGAUGUCCGGCCACACUGGAACUGAGACACGGUCCAGACACCUACGGGUGGCAGCAGUCGAGAAUCAUUCACAAUGGGGGAAACCCUGAUGGUGCGACGCCGCGUGGGGGAAUGAAGGUCUUCGGAUUGUAAACCCCUGUCAUGUGGGAGCAAAUUAAAAAGAUAGUACCACAAGAGGAAGAGACGGCUAACUCUGUGCCAGCAGCCGCGGUAAUACAGAGGUCUCAAGCGUUGUUCGGAAUCACUGGGCGUAAAGCGUGCGUAGGCUGUUUCGUAAGUCGUGUGUGAAAGGCGCGGGCUCAACCCGCGGACGGCACAUGAUACUGCGAGACUAGAGUAAUGGAGGGGGAACCGGAAUUCUCGGUGUAGCAGUGAAAUGCGUAGAUAUCGAGAGGAACACUCGUGGCGAAGGCGGGUUCCUGGACAUUAACUGACGCUGAGGCACGAAGGCCAGGGGAGCGAAAGGGAUUAGAUACCCCUGUAGUCCUGGCAGUAAACGGUGCACGCUUGGUGUGCGGGGAAUCGACCCCCUGCGUGCCGGAGCUAACGCGUUAAGCGUGCCGCCUGGGGAGUACGGUCGCAAGAUUAAAACUCAAAGGAAUUGACGGGGACCCGCACAAGCGGUGGAGCAUGUGGUUUAAUUCGAUGCAACGCGAAGAACCUUACCUGGGCUUGACAUGUAAUGAACAACAU